UACAGAGGUGCCGAGCGUUAGGCGGAAUCACUGGGCUUAAAGCGCGCGUAGGCGGGCGUCUAAGUGCCUUGUGAAAUCCCACGGCUCAACUGUGGAACUGCUCGGUAUACUGCUCGUCUUGAGCCAACUAGGGGCGACCGGAACAAACGGUGGAGCGGUGAAAUGCGUAGAUAUCAGGAGGAACACCGGUGGCGAAGGCGGGUCUCUGGGCAGUAACUGACGCUGAGGAGCGAAAGCGUGGGGGAGCGAACAGG
rnacentral:rRNA from 1 species